CUGGAUGGGUCAGUGCUCUCUCCUGUCCAGGACCCUGGAUGGUGGAGGUUGACCAAGCAGAGCUCCAGAGAACACCGCUGGACUGCGAUACACCUUCCCCACACCCCGCAACCUACCUAUCCCUUAAUUUGCCCAGCUCAUUCCCCUGGGCAGCAGUCAUCAAUUUACAUGGAGAGGCACCAGGAGAAACACAAAACCUAUUUAUCACAUUUGCUCAGAGUGUACUAACAGUCACUUCAAGCCAAGCAUGCAUCCACAUUUCAAUCGGGCUAUACCUCGGCAGCAUCAUAAAGAGUGUCAGGAGAUGCAUCGUUAAGAAAAUGGAUGGAAUAGAAGCGAGUGGCUCCUAUGAAAUAUGGAGGCCAGUGAACUCCACUCUCCUAUGACCACCUCAGUGUGUAUGGAGUUCAGCAUGGCCUGGAUAUUAUCCAGACUUCCUGGAAUCACCUGGUUGCUUAUAAAUGGCCACCUCAGCAUGCAAGAACACACAUCAGAAGCCGUGGUAGCCUAGGAAUGCAGAAGCCCAAGAAGCAGAGAACACUUAAUAUAUUCGUAAGUGUUCUUCACCCAGAUAAUCGAGGCUAGUCUGUGCUCUCACAGACAUAUUCCCUGGGCUAGUGCUUUCAGUGAUCAAGAAGGACUUUGCUCCACUUUUCCCAAAGAAUUUAUUUUCUUCGCAAGUCAUAAAUUCCUCAAGCAUUGCUAGAAACGGAAAUGUCGCUACCAAUAUUCUUCAUGGUCAACGAGUCAAAUGGAAAGCAAAUAUUUCAAUGUCA